GAAUCCCGUCUUUGACAUGGACCACCAGCGCAUUGUGGUUGUGCUCUCAACGAGUCGAGUUGUUUGGGAAUGCAGCUCUAAAUGGGUGGUAAAUUCCAUCUAAAGCUAAAUAUUGGCGAGAGACCGAUAGCGAACAAGUACCGUGAGGGAAAGAUGAAAAGAACUUUGGAAAGAGAGUUAAACAGUACGUGAAAUUGCUGAAAGGGAAACGCUUGAAGUCAGUCGCGUCCGUCGGGAAUCAACCUUGCUCUUGCUGGGUGUACUUUCUGUCGGACGGGUCAGCAUCAGUUUCGGUCGCUGGACAAAGUUCUUUGGGAAUGUGGCAUCCUCGGAUGUGUUAUAGCCCUUGGGACACAUGCAGCGGUCGGGAUUGAGGAACUCAGCACGCCCGCGAGGGCUGGGGCUUUUUGCCCACACAACUGUGCUUAGGAUGCUGGCGUAAUGGCUUUAAUCGACCCGUCUUGAAACACGGACCAAGGAGUCUAACAUGCCUGCGAGUGUUUGAGUGGAAAACUCAUGCGCGCAAUGAAAGUGAUAGUUGAGAUCCCUGUCAUGGGGAGCAUCGAUGCCCAGACCAGACCUUUUGUGACGGAUCUGCGGUAGAGCAUGCAUGUUGGGACCCGAAAGAUGGUGAACUAUGCCUGAAUAGGGUGAAGCCAGAGGAAACUCUGGUGGAGGCUCGUAGCGAUUCUGACGUGCAAAUCGAUCGUCAAAUUUGGGUAUAGGGGCGAAAGACUAAUCGAACCAUCUAGUAGCUGGUUCCUGCC
rnacentral:rRNA from 1 species